rfam:Alkalibacterium sp. 20 contig1, whole genome shotgun sequence.
GGUAUCUUUAAAUCAGUCCCGAGAGGCUGACAAGGACUACGGAUGAGAAAAAUAAACUACGAGUGUAUCUUCUACACGUGUAUCUGUUUUUCGAACGCUUCUUGUCAUAUCGGGCAGGGAGCUUUUUUUA